rnacentral:misc_RNA from 1 species
CCAAUAGCGUAUAUUAAAGUUGUUGCAGUUAAAAAGCUCGUAGUUGAAUUUCGGGAUCAGUAGGUCGGUCGUGCCACUGGUAUGAACUGGUCUCACUGGUUCCUCCCUCUUGACGAACUGCAAUGCUAUUAAUUUAGUGUUGUAGGAAAUCAGGACUGUUACUUUGAAAAAAUUAGAGUGUUUAAAGCAGGCUUUGGCUUGAAUACAUUAGCAUGGAAUAAUGAAAUAGGACGUUCGAUCCUAUUUUGUUGGCUUCUAGGAUUGACGUAAUGAUUAAUAGGGACAUUUGGGGGCAUUAGUAUUCAAUUGUCAGAGGUGAAAUUCUUGGAUUUAUUGAAGACUAACUACUGCGAAAGCAUUUGCCAAGGAUGUUUUCAUUAAUCAAGAACGAAAGUUAGGGGAUCGAAGACGAUCAGAUACCGUCGUAGUCUUAACCAUAAACUAUGCCGACUAGGGAUCGGAUGAUGUUAAUUUUUUAAUGACUCAUUCGGCGCCUUACG